GAGUGUAGUUUAGUGGUAGAACACUUUACCUAGCAUGUAGGAGGCCCUGGGUUCAAUCCCUAGUGUUACA
rnacentral:tRNA from 1 species